rnacentral:rRNA from 1 species
AUACGGAGGGUGCAAGCGUUAAUCGGAAUUACUGGGCGUAAAGCGCGCGUAGGCGGCUGAUUAAGUCGGGUGUGAAAUCCCUGGGCUCAACCUAGGAACUGCAUCCGAUACUGGUCAGCUAGAGUUUUGGAGAGGUAAGUGGAAUUUCCGGUGUAGCGGUGAAAUGCAUAGAGAUCGGAAGGAACACCAGUGGCGAAGGCGACUUACUGGCCAAAAACUGACGCUGAGGUGCGAAAGCGUGGGUAGCGAACAGGAUUAGAAACCCUUGUAGUCC